CUAGCCAACAGUUCCAGCUGAGGUCCCAGCUGACAGCCAGAGCAACCACCAGACACAUGAUUAACAAGUCUUCAGAUGAUUCAGCACCCAGCCUUUGGUUCUUCUCAGCUGAGGUCCCAGAUAUUGCGGAGCAGAGACCAGCCAUCUCUGUUCUGCGCAUUUUGAAUUCCUGUCCAACAGAAGCCAUAAGCGUUAUAAAUGGUGCUUGUCUCGAUGCCACUAGGCUAGAGGUGGUUAGUUAUGCCGCAAUAGUAACCAGAACAACUGGGGAUGAGCCAGAUGUAGAAAAUAGGAGCAAAUGUCAACCUUUUUGAAAAAACACUCUCACAACUCAAACCAAUCAAAAGCACAAAUACACAUGUAAGAAUUUUAUCAUAAACACAAGUCAGCAGACUCAAUAAGCUAGAGAAUUCGUCCCCAGGAACCCAAGGUAACAAUACAACAAUCAGGAAGAGCACAUAAAACAAAGCCCAGAAGAAAGAGGUUCUGGGACCGGUAUGAGGGUUCAAAGAGCACUGAGCCUUCAGAAAAAAAGACGUUACAGCUUGGUUUGAGUAUCACUGCGGAAUGGUCACGUGUCCACACCGGGGCCAGCCCCAGAGCCCAGUGCAACAGAGGCUGUGGUGAUUUGAAAGAUUCAUCGGGAAUCUAAAAGCUGCAAAAUCUAAUUGCCCCGCCUCACAGAACAUUCUCCCUCCAUUGCCAACCGACGAGGAUCUGGGUUCGCUUCUGCUAAUGGGAACAGGGGUUUCCCUUGCAGCCCCUUCUGUAUACUUUGGUACUCAUGAUCCAAGACCCUAACAGCAGCCUAAGAACCAAGAUGUGUGUGGUAUUACCAGGCAGACAAGCUGAGCAGUGGGACAAUGAGCGUGUCCCCACUAGGACCCAGCCAAGCAUGGGGAUAGUCUCCACGAGUCAAUCAGAGAGAGAUGUUUGUCCAACUAGACCGUGACUUGUGCUUAGCACGGAAUCUAGCCAGUAUGUUGGAUCCUCCAAUGGGAAAAUCUUUACCUAAAGGGAUCAUCUCAGUCCCUUUUCUAGGCUAGACUAGUCACGUGUGCUAACAAAGCUGUCUACUUGCCACAGCUUUUAACCAUUUGCCUUAAUAGGUGUUUCCAAUUCCAUUUUGUUCACAAUAAAUGUCAAGUUUCAGCUCCAUUUCCUCCAUUUUGAAGGCAUUUUUGGUGCAUUUCCACAGGCCUAACAUAGCCUGUAACAUAGUGAAACUUGGACUUAAUGAGCCUUCUGUGUGUUUGACAUGUUCGGCUGCUUGUUCUUCCUGUAGUUAAUGGGACACCAGUAGUGAGUGUCAGAAACCCCCAAACCAACCAACACAGCAGGAUGGAAUGUGAGCAUGGUGGCCCCCCACUAAAGACCUACAGGGUGGGAGGAAGGCAGACAGUUCCCCCAAGAGUGUGGGAAGGGGGGUGUGGGAUUCUUGUCCCAGAAGUUUGGGGUGCUGGGCAGACAGAGAUGUCUCUAUAACAAGGAUAGAAAAGAUCUGCUAUCUCCAGGCAACAGAAACUCUUCCCUUAGGCUUUUUUCGGCACCGUGUAUCCCCACCCAGACCUCUGUUCCACGAGGCCCGUGUUCGCUCUAUCAACCUGUCCAGGAGCCACCAAGGGGUUCAGUGAGGUGGGAAAGGGUAAAGAAAAUAAAAGGGAGAGGUUGAAACAAGUUAUCAGUGGAAUGCUUCAGUUGCUCUUCUCCAACUUUGACAUGCAGUUUAUAAAACCGAAUUUAUAUUCUCCAAAAUUGUGAUAUUUUAACUUGCUGAUAUUCAUCCAAAUCUAUUCCAGUCUUGGGGGAAAGUGGCAAAUACCUACUAGGCUUCAAAUAUCUUUUAUUGAGGGUUUUUUCUUUCCAGUAUUUAUGUGACAUUUUUAUUUCCUUCUUUAUGAACUCUACUCGUCAUGCUCAUAACAAAAAGAUGAUGAUGGUGGGUUUUUUCUUACAUAUUCAUAGAUAGAUUUUAUAUAUUAAGGAAAAUACCCACUAUAUUAGGAAAGGCAAAUAUUUUCCCAGUUGUUAAUGGUUGCUUUAUAUUUUAACUUUUUUUUUUUUUAAAGAUUUUAUUUAUUUAUUUGAGAGAGAGAGUGAGAGAGAGAAAGAGCACAAGAGGGGGGAGCGGGAGAGGGAGAAGCAGACUCCCUGCUGAGCAGGGAGCCCGAUGCGGGACUCGAUCCCGGGACUCCAGGAUCAUGACCUGAGCCAAAGGCAGUCGCUUAACCAACUGAGCCACCCAGGCGCCCUAUAUUUUAACUUUUUAUUGAUGUUCAAUAUAUAGAAAAAAGUUUACAAAUCUUACUGUGCAGAUAAAUAAGUUUUCACAAACUGAACAUACAUGUAAAACCAAUAUAUAGGUCAAGAAAUGUAACUGAAGAGGAAUCACAAGAGAAUCCCUUUUUAUUCACCUUCCUGUCUCUACUCAGUUCCAAAAAUAACCAUUACUCUGUUUUCUAAUAUUAUAGAAUGGUAUGUAAGUUUUAAAAAUUUAUGAAAUUUAAAUCAAACAGUAUGUAAUUUUUGUAUCUUGUCUCUUAUGUUUGUGGUACUACAUUUGCAAUAUUGUUUAUAAUAUUAUGUUUUUAAACUUCCUCCAUUCUAUUUUGUGUAGCAAGUGAUCAAUCAUUAUUACGUAUAAUAUUGCAUUAUUUAAAUUAUACCAUGUUUAUUUACCCAUUUUGUUCUUUUUUUAUUUAAAUUCAAUUAAUUAACCUUAACCAUAGAUUUUUCACUCUCCUCCUAUUACGUCCUUCUUCCCAGCCCUAGGAGGUGCCCACUGAGUGUCAGGAAGCACCUGGAAGCACCUGGCCUAGGUACGGUGGGCUGAGGUGUUUGGUGACAAGGCUCUGACUUACCUGGAGCAGCGAGGGCUGGUGAGGUCACGCAGACCAAACAAAGGCCCCACAAGGGGAGACACCUCCACAGACCAGGCUUUGCUAAAAGAAUUGUAUUAACUCUUUAUUCCAAUGGGAUUUUUUUAAAGAGUUAUGUAUUUAUUUGAGAGAGAGAGAAUGCAGGGGGAAGGGGCAGAGGGAGAGGGAGAGAAUCUCCAGCAGACUCUUCGCUGAGCUUAGGGCCCGACGUGGGGCUCAGUCUCACGACCCUGAGAUCACAACCUGAGCAGAAACCAAGAGUCAGACCCUCA